rnacentral:rRNA from 1 species
GAUGAACGCUGGCGGCGUGCCUAAUACAUGCAAGUCGAGCGAACAGACGAGGAGCUUGCUCCUCUGACGUUAGCGGCGGACGGGUGAGUAACACGUGGAUAACCUACCUAUAAGACUGGGAUAACUUCGGGAAACCGGAGCUAAUACCGGAUAAUAUAUUGAACCGCAUGGUUCAAUAGUGAAAGACGGUUUUGCUGUCACUUAUAGAUGGAUCCGCGCCGCAUUAGCUAGUUGGUACGGUAACGGCUUACCAAGGCAACGAUGCGUAGCCGACCUGAGAGGGGGAUCGGCCACACGGGAGCUGAGACACGGUCAAGACUCCUACGGGAGGCAGCAGUAGGGAAUCGUCCGCAAUGGGCGAAAGCCUGACGGAGCAACGCCGCGUGAGUGAUGAAGGUCUUCGGAUCGUAAAACUCUGUUAUGAGGGAAGAACAAAUGUGGAAGUAACUAUGCACGUCGUGACGGUACCUAAUCAGAAAGCCACGGCUAACUACGUG